UACGUAGGGGGCAAGCGUUAUCCGGAUUCAUUGGGCGUAAAGCGCGCGCAGGCGGGCCGCUAAGCGGGACCUCUAAUCUUGGGGCUCAACCUCAAGCCGGGUCCCGAACUGGCAGCCUCGAGUGCGGUAGGGGUAAGCGGAAUUCCCGGUGUAGCGGUGGAAUGCGCAGAUAUCGGGAAGAACACCGAUGGCGAAGGCAGCUUACUGGGCCGACACUGACGCUGAGGCGCGAAAGCGAGGGGAGCGAACAGG
rnacentral:rRNA from 1 species